rnacentral:rRNA from 1 species
AUGGGGCGAACCACAGCUAACCCUAUCUGGUGUCUGAUAUGGAAGUUAUCUUGUCCAGCAAAAGUCAAAAAAUUUAUAUGGCGUACGUUACGUGGCACACUUCCAUGUCGGGUCACACUCGCUAAUAAACACAUGAAGGUCUCACCCAUUUGUCCUACUUGCUCUCAGGGUUUAGAAGAUACGAAACACAUGCUUUUCCUCUGCAGUAAAGCAAAGGAGGUUUGGAAGAGGCUAGAGAUGGAUGAGAUUAUUGAUAAAGCUUGUGAGGUUGAUCAUGCUGGAGAGGCGGCGUUGGAGUACCUUCUACUUCUUCUAGACCAAGAUUUGCGUAUUAUGGGGUGCCAAAAUGUGCGUGAAAUGAUAACUAUUUCAGCUUGGUAUCUAUGGUGGGAAAGACGGAAAUUAAUGCACAAGGAAUUAACUCGGAAUGCAACUCAAAUUUCAAUGGGGAUCAUAGCCCUCACGUCAAACUUCGUAAAUGCAUCAACUCCAAAGGCUUCCAUGAAAGAGGGGGGUUGGUCUUGUCAUCCUAGGGGUUUUGUGAAACUUAAUGUUGAUGCUUCUUUUGAUCAUGACAUGCUGAAGGGUAUGAUGGAGGCGGUUUUGAGAGACGACAAAGGUAGGUUUAUCGCUGGAGGAAAUGCGAAGAUUGGCUAUUGUGCGGAUGUUCUGAUGGCAGAAGCCUUACCUCUCAAAUUUGGCCUAACAUUGGCGCAAAGGGCGGGGUGUAAUCGUCUUAUCAUCAACUCAGACAACCUGGAGGUGAUUGAGACCAUGCAGGACGGAGGACAGUCGGCGGGUGCGGCAGCGGCAAUUUUCGAUGACUGUUUUCACUAUGCCUGUGAUUCUGUCAUGACUAGAUUCGAACAUUGUAAUAGAGAGGCAAAUAAAAUAGCUCAUGAGCUCGCUAGAUUAGCUAGAUUUUUUUCGACUUCGGAUUGGUUUGAGGAGCCUCUAAAUGAAAUUGUAAUGAUCCUCAUAAAUGAUGUACUGGUUAUUUCUAAUGAAUAA